rnacentral:lncRNA from 1 species
GGAUCAAACCCAGAGCCUUGCACAUGCUUAGCGAGCACUGACCCGAGCACUCUACCGCUGAGCCACAACCCCAGCACUUUUUUUAAAAAUAUUUUUUAUAGUUGUUGAUAGACCUUUAUUUUAUUCAUACGUGGUGCUAAGAAUCAAACCCAGUGCCUCACACAUGCCAGGCAAGUGCGCUACCCCUGAGCCACAGCCACAGCUCCCCCAAACACUUUUUAUUUGAGAUAGUUUCACCAAAUUGCCAAGGUUGACCUCAAACUUGCAAUCCUCCUGCCUCAGUUUCCUGAGUAGCUGAGAUGACAGACAUGUACCACCAUGCCCAGCUGAAAUCUUACUUUUUAGUUGUCCUUGUUAACUUUGACCUCCUUCUCU